UGGACACCAUCAUAUACAAAAAUCAUCACAAUCUUUGCAUACCCUGUUUGGAGUGUGUUUAUUCUACACGUGGCAUCCAGUGCUGGGAAGUUCAAAGUUCCAUUGUUCUUAUUCAUCCUAAUGCUAUGCUGUGUUGGUGCACUUGCCGAGUUAGUUAAGUCUUAUAAAGGUCACAAGUACAAGCUUCAUAGAGAUGGCAGUAAGUUGUUGCGAAAUUUGUCAUUUGCUGCAGCAGCUGUUAUGAAAAAUCAAAAUUCUGAAUCUGAAGAUGAAAC